CUACGGGUCGCAGCAGUGGGGAAUAUUGCACAAUGGAGGAAACUCUGAUGCAGCAACGCCGCGUGGAGGAUGACACUUUUCGGAGCGUAAACUCCUUUUAUAUAGGAAGAGGAUGACGGUACUAUAUGAAUAAGCGCCGGCUAACUCCGUGCCAGCAGCCGCGGUAAUACGGAGGGCGCAAGCGUUACUCGGAAUCACUGGGCGUAAAGAGCGUGUAGGCGGAUUAAAAAGUCAGAAGUGAAAUCCUAUAGCUUAACUAUAGAACUGCUUCUGAAACUCUUAAUCUAGAAUGUGGGAGAGGUAGAUGGAAUUUCUGGUGUAGGGGUAAAAUCCGUAGAGAUCAGAAGGAAUACCGAUUGCGAAGGCGAUCUACUAGAACAUUAUUGACGCUGAGACGCGAAAGCGUGGGGAGCAAACAGGAUUAGAUACCCGUGUAGUC
rnacentral:rRNA from 1 species